AAAAAGUCAUGAAGUUUCAAAGAACCUACUGAUGCCAUCUGAAAUCGAAGAACAAGUUGUUGCUGAGUUCAGAAGAUACUGAAUCCUAAAAUGGUGAAAGAAGAGACCUGAACAGGAGAGUCCAGCUUUCUCAGUUUUGCCAAAGAUAUCUCAGAUUAAAGCAUUGAUAUUGCAUGCGUCUCUUGGGCAUGAAAGGCUACAAAUCCUCUGGCUGACCCACAGCUCACACAUGUUGAUAAUUAAAGCAUCAUUGAUUUGAUGCACCUGGCUGAACUCUCGAGUGGAACACAGAAAGUGGAAAGUUACUCUGCAUGGUAUUUUACUUCAAAAGAGAAGUUGCAAAAAUGGGAUAAAUUUCAAAGACAAACAUUUGAGAAAUUACGGAGACCCUGAGCAAAGAGUUAACAACCAUUCCACUGGAAGAUGCUGCACAGUAAUCACUUUGUGUUGCACCAGCUCAGUUGGAUUGUCCUGCUCAGCUCUUCAGGAAUUUUUGGAAGGAUUUUUUUUGGUUUCUGAAACUCAUCUAAAGAAUUGCUUCAAACCACAACACAGUGGGGAUCUCAUGAACUUCAAGCCCAGUGAGAUGAUAAAUGCUUCCAGGAGUUGAUGUCGCUAACCACUGGCCUUAAUCUUGAUCAUUUCUCACUUAUGCCACAGAAAGGAAUUUCCUGAGCUGUGCCUGUUUGGCUACCUCUGGGGAACGGCUGCGAGUUGGGGUUGUGACAGGAGUCAGCAGAGCUCUCCAUGAGCAAUGAGUGAACAGGAAGUUCAGCUCCUUGGAAAGACAUAUUUUAAGGGGAAUCUCAUUAAAAAGACUCUGAACAUACAAACAAAGUGGUAAUGUAUUCUUAAUGAGGCAAGGUGAUGUCUUGCUGUGCAAAUGUGCAAAGACCUGUAAAACUGCAGUUCUCCUUCCACUCAUUAAAGACAGUUGUAAGCGUUUGUCAAUGCGUCACUGUCCUGUUUAGUGGUGAGACUGGUGAGCUGCAUGGAAAGACACCUCUGCCAAUAAAAAGGUCAGUAUUACUGUUUUAAGAAAUUGUAUUAUUUCACUGUUUGAACUGUUACAGUUUCAUUGUGAUACGCUUCCAUGAUCAUCUUUGAAUUAUAGCUUUUGCUUCCUCAGUACUUCCGCUGGCUGCCAUUUUGAAUGGAGGUGAUCACUAGCAGCAAGGAAGCUGGAAUAUCUGGGGCUUUACCAUGUUGAGAAUAGUUUAUUGUAGUUUGAAAGGUGUUUGUUACAUGCUUCUUUUCAUAAGAAACCUUUAUUCUCAACUUCAGGAUGCUUUGAGAAUACAGGAUCAUUUGCCUGGCAGGUUUUAUUUUUUUUGAUCCUUGUUUUGGAGGAAAGUAUGGAAAGGAUUGAAAAAGAACAAGAAAGGUUCUUUACAGCAUAACAUGACUGUAUUCUUAGAAAAACAAACCCAAAAUGAAAGUUGAAAGCAUAUCUGAGAUGUAGCUUCCGACAUACAGAAAUAUCACCAAAAAAUGACAGGAAAAAAGCUCCCUCAGUAUCAGAAUAUAUUGUAAUUUUUAUCCAAACGCAUCUGAAUUUUUUGGUUCCACUUAACGUAAAGCAUAUUGGAUAACUUGGGACAUUUGAGUUUUUGAUGGUGUCAUUCAAACUAAA